GCUGUAGCACACAGGUAGAGCUUCUGCUUUGCAUGCAGAAGGUCCUGAGUUCAAUCCUUGGCAUCUCCA